rnacentral:rRNA from 1 species
AAUAGAUACCCAGGUAGUCCUGGCCGUAAACGAUGUCGACUAGAUCGCAGUUCCUUCAACGGAAUUGCGGUCGAAGCAAAAGUGCUAAGUCGACCGCCUGGGAAGUACGGUCGCAAGGCUAAAACUCAAAGAAGUUGACGGGGGCUCACACAAGCGGUGGAGCAUGUGGUUCAAUUCGAAGCAACGCGCAGAACCUUACCUGGGCUUGACAUGCUAGGAUUAUCCCUAUGAAAGUAGGGUAGGCCCUUCGGGGUACAACUAGUACAGGUGCUGCAUGGCUGUCGUCAGCUCGUGUCGUGAGAUGUCGGGUUAAGUCCCUUAACGAGCGAAACCUUUGCCCUUAGUUACUAACGGGUUAUGCCGAGGACUCUAAGGGGACUGCCGGUGUCAAACCGGAGGAAGGUGGAGAUGACGUCAAGUCCUCAUGGCCUUUAUGCCCAGGGCCACACACGUGCUACAAUGGGGUGCACAGAGCGAACCGAGAGCGCAAGCUGGAGGAAAUCGCAUAAAUCCACCCCCCAGUUCAGA